UACGUAGGGUGCGAGCGUUAAUCGGAAUUACUGGGCGUAAAGCGUGCGCAGGCGGUUUUGUAAGCCAGAUGUGAAAUCCCCAGGCUUAACCUGGGAACUGCGUCGGAUACUGGAUGGCUUGAAUCCGGGAGAGGGAUGCGGAAUUCCAGGUGUAGCGGUGAAAUGCGUAGAUAUCUGGAGGAACACCGGUGGCGAAGGCGGCAUCCUGGACCGGCAUUGACGCUGAGGAGCGAAAGCCAGGGGAGCAAACGGG
rnacentral:rRNA from 1 species